CCCUUAGAUGUUCUGGGCCGCACGCGCGCUACACUGAUGCAUUCAACGAGCCUAUCCUUGACCGACAGGUCCGGGUAAUCUUUGAAUCUGCAUCGUGACGGGGAUAGAUUAUUGCAAUUAUUUAUCUUCAACGAGGAAUGCCUAGUAGGCGCAAGUCAUCAGCUUGCGUCGAUUACGUCCCUGCCCUUUGUACACACCGCCCGUCGCUCCUACCGAUUGGGUGUGCUGGUGAAAUGUUCGGAUCGGCCGUUUGUCGCGGUUUCCGCGGCUCGUGGCUGAGAAGUUCAUUAAACCCUCCCACCUAGAGGAAGGAGAAGUCGUAACA
rnacentral:rRNA from 1 species